rnacentral:sRNA from 1 species
GAAAAGGCUGGAUUUGGAGAGUUGGGAGAGCUAUCCAAGCACUAGGGAGAGUGGCGUUUGAUGGAGAUCGACAAGAUUCAUGGGUCUGCAUUUUUCAGACCAACAGAAAUGAUCGAGCAAGCUCAGACAUAUUCAUUUGCACCUAGAAGCAGUGGUACCUUCUAGACAGCGUAUUCUCAGAAGAAGAAAAAAAGAAUGCUGGGUAGAACAGAGUGGAAUAAAGUAGACGCUGAAGAAAGGCUGACAAAAAAAUGAAACUCCUGCAGCAUUUCACUCUGGCCAAGCAGAAGAGCAUCAAUUUCUUCCUUCAAAGAGCAUUUACUAAGAAUGUGCUGUUCGGGCGACAGAUGCUGUGAGAGGAACUGAAUCUAAGCACAUAGAUGAAAGUUUAUUCCCCCACACGGUCCAGGCAUUUCUCUGCGUCACCACCAUAUCUCUUUGGUGAUCACUGUUGUUAAAUAACUAAUGAUAUUUAGGGCGCAUCUUCCUGUGAAACCUGUCAAUUACCUUUACAGUGGGCACAAAAGAGAAGAAGAUUGAAGAAAAUAUAGGUCUCAGGUUCUCCCCAGAAAUCUUCUAGAUGUAAUACAAGAAGGGGAGGGAGCAUAAGUGUAUCUUAGUAAUUAGAAUUGGAUGAAUUUGGCAGAUGUGAUGCAGCCUGGCCUCUGAUGAUAUAUUGGUGGAGACAACUUGAGCCUUGAGCCACAUGGUCUUUCAUAUUUGGCUCAGGAUGAGCUGUUUGCUUGUUUCCUUCACAGAGGCACUGUGUUCUGUCAAUAUUGCCGUAUGCCAAAAGCUGUGCUUGACAUUUCUCCCUCGGUGCCACAUUCUCUGACCUUCUGAAUCAAUCUGUGGGUCAGACCCUAACAUUAUUCAUAUUUCACAGAUCAAAUCAAUUACUGAGCUAAGUAAUGUAAAAUAGUUCUGGAGGUCAGAGGUCUGAAAUUCAUCACUGGAUUCAAAUUAAGCUCUCUGUAGCCCUGUUUUGUUUGCUUGUCUUCAGAGACUGUUUGGGACUGUCCUUACUUUUGUGAUGUUAUCAUGACUACCCACAUUUCUUAGCUCAGGGCUCAUUCAUCUCCCUACCUCCAGAUUCAACAGAAUCAAGUUGACUCUCAAUCAUGCUUGUUUCUCUUUCUCCCACGUCCAUCCACUUAGAAGAAUGUCAUGAUUGUGUGGAGCCCAUCUGAAAAGGAACAAUGUCUUCCCUUCUCAACUUCUCAUGAGUAGCCUUAAUUUGGUCUACAUGAAAAUGAACAUAUGCACAGAGAACAUGCUCAUGCUUUUUCAAAGAGUGGAGAUUGGGAUUCGAAACCUUUGCAGGCAUGUGUGCGUGUGUGCGUGCGUGCGUGCGUGCGUGCCUGUUCCUCAUAUUGGAUGGUGAAUAGGCAUGCAGGAGAAGUCACGAUUAAAGUGGCAAAACUGUGUGCAAAUACACAAGCCCCUAGGGGUUCUUACAGGCUGAUCGCUGACAACCAGUGGGGGUGUUGCCAGUUGCAUCCUGGACUCACAAAGCAGACAUGCACUUUGCUAAGAACAGACUCUUGCGUCAUCUAAUGGAUCAAAAUGAAGGAUGGAUGAUUUUUGAGUCAGGAGGGUGAAAGCACCUGAAUGCCCUGUAAGUGCUACCUGCCUUUUACCUCUGCAAAAGCACUGCUUUAUUGGAAAUGAUCAUUUCCUAAAACAAAGCCGGAACAGUAGGAGCUUUGGGUUUUGUACAAAGCUACCCUGAAAGUCAGUCUAGCUCAUCUCCUGCUGGUGAAAUAAAUGCUGGAGAGCCUCCCUUCA